rnacentral:rRNA from 1 species
GACGAACGCUGGCGGCGUGCUUAACACAUGCAAGUCGAACGGAAAGGCCCUGCUUUUGUGGGGUGCUCGAUUGGCGAACGGGUGAGUAACACGUGAGUAAACUGUCCUUGACUUUGGGAUAACUUCUGGAAACUGGGGCUAAUACCGGAUAGGAGCUCCUGCUGCAUGUUGGGGGUUGGAAAGUUUCGGCGGUUGGGGAUGGACUCGCGGCUUAUCAGCUUGUUGGUGAGGUAGUGACUUACCAAGGCUUUGACGGGUAGCCGGCCUGAGAGGGUGACCGGCCACAUUGGGACUGAGAGACGGCCCAGACGCCUACGGGAGGCAGCAGUGGGGAAUAUUGCACAAUGGGCGGAAGCCAGAUGCAGCAACGCCGCGUGCGGGAUGACGGCCUUCGGGUUGUAAACCGCUUUCGCCUGUGACGAAGCGUGAGUGACGGUAAUGGGUAAAGAAGCACCGGCUAACUACGUG